rnacentral:lncRNA from 1 species
GGGCGUGUGCAAGAAAAAAAAUUUUUGAAAGAAAAUCUGGGUGUGAGGAAUCCUUGUGUGCAAGGUGAAGGUCUAUAUCCUUCUGAGAGAAAAAGAAAGAAAAAAAAGAAAAAGUAGUGCGCAGGGUUUUAGUGAGUUCUUCAGGGUUUCAGCCUGGAGUUUGGGAAGUGAGAAGGUGAGCUAUGAGUAUCAUGAGCCCAUCAAAUUUUAGAAAGAUCUUAAACAUCCUC